rnacentral:sRNA from 1 species
GCUCACGACGCUGAGGUGGUGGCUGCGGCCUUUGAACAAACACCAUGGCCGAGCCUCUGAAGGAGGAAGACGGCGAGGACGGCUCUGCGGAGCCCCCCGGGCCCGUGAAGGCCGAACCCGCCCACACCGCUGCCUCUGUAGCGGCCAAGAACCUGGCCCUGCUUAAAGCCCGCUCCUUCGAUGUGACCUUUGACGUGGGCGACGAGUACGAGAUCAUCGAGACCAUAGGCAACGGGGCCUAUGGAGUGGUGUCCUCCGCCCGCCGCCGCCUCACCGGCCAGCAGGUGGCCAUCAAGAAGAUCCCUAAUGCCUUCGAUGUGGUGACCAAUGCCAAGCGGACCCUCAGGGAGCUGAAGAUCCUCAAGCACUUUAAGCACGACAACAUCAUCGCCAUCAAGGACAUCCUGAGGCCCACUGUGCCCUAUGGCGAAUUCAAAUCUGUGUAAGAAGCGGGAUGGGAGAGGGAGCCAGACUUGGGACUUUUCUGAAGGCUGCAACCAUGUUGCUGAAGUUCUGGAAAGGCAGCUGAAUCUAAUCUGAAGCAGGCUGGGAAAAUUCCCGCAGUUCUAGGACCAGUUCUCCUUUAGAGUUUUGCCAGGGACAACUGUUAUUCCUCAAGAAGUGUACAGAUGAUUUUACAGUUUUAUAGAAUCUUAGUAUAUAG